GAUGAACGCUGGCGGCGUGCCUAAUACAUGCAAGUCGAGCAAAGCGGGGACGGGUGAGUAACACGUGGCUCACCUCCUAUAAGACUUGGAUACCUUCGGGAAACCGGAGCUAACCCUGAGACUUAUCGAUUGCUUCGCCAUGCGUUAGCUAGUUGGUAAGGUAACCGCUUACCAAGGCAACGAUGCAUAGCCGACCUGAGAGGAUGAUCGGCCACACUGGAACUGAGACACGGUCCAGACUCCUACGGGAGGCAGCAGUAGGGAAUCUUCCGCAAUGGGCGAAAGCCUGACGGAGCAACGCCGCGUGAGUGAUGAAGGUCUUCGGAUCGUAAAACUCUGUUAUUAGGGAAGCGGUACCUAAUCAGAAAGCCACGGCUAACUACGUGCCAGCAGCCGCGGUAAUAC
rnacentral:rRNA from 1 species